AGGAGGAGAUCCGAACUCUUCAUUCACGAAACUGAAACCUCGUUAGAACUUCGACAGUACUGUCGACACAUUGUCUUUUGUACAAACAACGACCAAGGCGAAAUUCUUUGGCCAUCCGUUCAGUAGGCAAAAGAAUUGGAUUUAUGUAUUUUGUGUCAGAAAGAUGAAAAUGGGAAACUUAACUCUGUAGCAUUUCAUUUCACUUUGUUGCUGAAAUCAAACCUGUGCUCAAGGUGUGAAAUAUGGAAGAACUGAACUGAAAAUGGGAUCAGUGAUGUCGUUCUUUGGCAGCUUGUGUGGAAAAGAGGAGAAGCAAGAGGAGGAGAGACACCUGC